AUUGCCCCUUGAGGCGUUGCAAUCCGGCUACUUUUGGUCGAGAUUGUGUCAGGAGGUGGCAUAGAGAAAUUGUCUAUGUCUACACUGGUACCCAUAAUGCCAUGGGUGCUUAGUUUGAUUAAUAGACUACACG